UCAGAAAACGCAAAAGGAAGGGCGCAACCUGU
rnacentral:piRNA from 1 species